UUGUCUUGCUGCUUUUUGUUUUAUGUUGCUCUGCUGUAUGCUACGUCUUGCUUGUCCUAUGUUGCUCUGUUUGCUAUGUCUUGCUUGUCCUAUGUUGCUAUGUCUUGCUUGUUUUCUGCUGCUAUUGUCUAUAUUGUAAUUGUUUUUAAUAACCUGCCCAGGGACUGCGGUUGAAAAUUAGCCGGCUGGCUAAAACCGGCACUUUUACUGAAACCUUGAUUAAUGUGCACUGUCCCUGUAAAAAUAAAAAUAAACUCAACUCAACUCAACUCAACGGGAGCCGCCGUCGACAGCCCUGCCUCCUAUCUUAACGGUCGACAGCCCUGCCUCCUAUCUUAACGGUCGACAGCCCUGCCUCCUAUCUUAACGGUCGACAGCCCUGCCUCCUAUCUUAACGGGAGCCGCCGUCGACAGCCCUGCCUCCUAUCUGAACGGGAGCCGCGGUCGACAGCCCC
rnacentral:lncRNA from 13 species